GAUGAAGAACGUAGCGAAAUGCGAUAAGUAGUGUGAAUUGCAGAAUUCAGUGAAUCAUCGAAUCUUUGAACGCACAUUGCGCCCUUUGGUAUUCCAAAGGGCAUGCCUGUUCGAGCGUCAUUUGUACCCUCAAGCUUUGCUUGGUGUUGGGCGUCUCGUCUCUAGCUUUGCUGGAGACUCGCCUUAAAGUAAUUGGCAGCCGGCCUACUGGUUUCGGAGCGCAGCACAAGUCGCACUCUCUAUCAGCAAAGGUCUAGCAUCCAUUAAGCCUUUUUUUCAACUUUUGACCUCGGGUCAGGUAGGGAUACCCGCUGAACUUAAGCAUAUCAAUAAGCGGAGGA
rnacentral:misc_RNA from 1 species